UAUGGUAGACAUUUUCUUGCAAGUGAGGGGGGGGAUGCUUCUGAAGUUGUUGUUAGGACAGGCAUUUUAGAAUGUCAUAAAUAACACUGUUAAUAUUGCAGUCAUCAUAUUUCAUUCAUUCACAAGACUUUAAUCUGCUUUUGCAGAAUUUGCAGGAUUGCUGCUCUCUAGAGUUCUGUACUUUUAACAUGAUAUAUUAACUGCUUUUUUGCAGCAUCGUGUGAACUCCCCUCCUAGUUUGAAUUAGUUAAAAGUUAUUCUGAAAUCCUCAGAUUUCUUUUGUUAUUACUUGAAACACUUUCUAUAGCUAUGUUUUUAAAAAGUAAAUACCAUCUGGCUGGUGUGUUUAAAAAAUGAGUCUGUAGCAGAUAAUGUAAAAAUGACCUUGGCCCUAAAUGUAAAAAAGGUGUGGGGGGGGAGACAGGAAGCUGGCUGAACACUAUGCUAAUAAGAACACAGCUCAUACGCUGCGUAAAGAGGGGGAAAGAAAAAAAAAAAAAGACUUCUCAGUGAAGCACUUUAAGGCUAGGUUAUUUGAAUGUUUUUUGUCUGAAUGACGCAACACUGAGCUCAUGAGAGUCAGAUCAAAUCCAGAGGAAGAGAAGAGGCAAGAGUCCGGCUGGGAGUCCUGCUAUUCACUGAUUCACAAUAGAAAUGUCGAUAAAAUAUGAAUCUUCUGAAGUGUAGGCAAGUCUCCAGCUUGGAAUGAAGUCGCAAAGAACCGAUCAAUGCCAACUGAAAUCCAAGGUCAAGUUGUUGUUGACUUCAGUAGAUACCAAAUCCAAAAAUGCACAGCACUACCCCAGUGUUACAGUUUGAGCAGUGUCCUGUACUCUGGUACUUAA
rnacentral:lncRNA from 1 species